rnacentral:rRNA from 1 species
GUAGGUGGCAAGCGUUGUCCGGGAAUUAUUGGGGCGUAAAGCGCGCGCAGGCGGUUCUUUAAGUCUGAUGUGAAAGCCCACGGGCUCAACCGUGGAGGGUCAUUGGAAACUGGAGAACUUGAGUACAGAAGAGGAAAGCGGAGUUCCACGUGUAGCGGUGAAAUGCGUAGAGAUGUGGAGGAACACCAGUGGCGAAGGCGGCUUUCUGGUCUGUAACUGACGCUGAGGCGCGAAAGCGUGGGGAGCAAACAGGAUUAGAUACCCUGGUAGUCCACGCCGUAAACGAUGAGUGCUAAGUGUUAGGGGGUUUCCGCCCCUUAGUGCUGCAGCUAACGCAUUAAGCACUCCGCCUGGGGAGUACGGCCGCAAAGGCUGA